rnacentral:rRNA from 1 species
CCUACGGGAGGCAGCAGUGGGGAAUUUUGGACAAUGGGCGCAAGCCUGAUCCAGCAAUGCCGCGUGAGUGAAGAAGGCCUUCGGGUUGUAAAGCUCUUUUGUCAGGGAAGAAAAGGUGCGCUCUAACAUAGCGUACUGAUGACGGUACCUGAAGAAUAAGCACCGGCUAACUACGUGCCAGCAGCCGCGGUAAUACGUAGGGUGCAAGCGUUAAUCGGAAUUACUGGGCGUAAAGCGUGCGCAGGCGGUUUUAUAAGUCUGAUGUGAAAUCCCCGGGCUCAACCUGGGAACUGCAUUGGAGACUGUAAGGCUAGAGUGUGUCAGAGGGGGGUAGAAUUCCACGUGUAGCAGUGAAAUGCGUAGAUAUGUGGAGGAAUACCGAUGGCGAAGGCAGCCCCCUGGGAUAACACUGACGCUCAUGCACGAAAGCGUGGGGAGCAAACAGGAUUAGAUACCCUGGUAGUCCACGCCCUAAACGAUGUCUACUAGUUGUCGGGACUUAAUUGUCUUGGUAACGCAGCUAACGCGUGAAGUAGACCGCCUUGGGGAGUACGGUUGCAAGAUUAAAACUCAAAGGAAUUGACCGGGNNGAGAGNGCGAGGACGACGACGAGGAGGAGG